rnacentral:rRNA from 1 species
GACGAACGCUGGCGGCGUGCUUAACACAUGCCAGUCGAACGGUGAAGCGCCUUCCUUUUUGGUGGGUGUGGAUGAGUGGCGAACGGGUGAGUAACACGUGAGUAACCUGCCCCCUUCUUCUGGAUAACCGCAUGAAAGUGUGGCUAAUACGGGAUAUUCUGGGUCUGUCGCAUGAUGGGUCUGGGAAAGAUAUUGUUUCGGUGGGGGAUGGGCUCGCGGCCUAUCAGCUUGUUGGUGGGGUGAUGGCCUACCAAGGCGGUGACGGGUAGCCGGCCUGAGAGGGUGGACGGUCACACUGGGACUGAGACACGGCCCAGACUCCUACGGGAGGCAGCAGUGGGGAAUAUUGCACAUUGGGCGCAAGCCUGAUGCAGCGACGCCGCGUGAGGGAUGGAGGCCUUCGGGUUGUGAACCUCUUUCGCCAGUGAAGCAGGCCUGCCUCGUUUGUGGGUGGGUUGACGGUAGCUGGAUAAGAAGCGCCGGCUAACUACGUG